CCAAAGCCGCCGAGCUUGCCUGCGCGCACACAAUCGAGCAACCCAGCACCGCCUCCGCCGCCCGGGAAGCCCAAACCAAACCCUAAGCCUCCGCGACCGGCCGCCGGCGAUGGCCCGCUACGACCGCGCGAUCACCGUCUUCUCCCCCGACGGCCACCUCUUCCAGGUCGAGUACGCCCUCGAGGCCGUCCGCAAGGGCAACGCUGCCGUCGGCGUCCGCGGCACCGACACCGUCGUCCUCGGCGUCGAGAAGAAGUCCACCCCCAAGCUCCAGGACUCCAGGUCCGUGCGGAAGAUCGCGAGCCUGGACACGCACGUCGCGCUGGCGUGCGCGGGGCUCAAGGCGGACGCGCGGGUGCUCAUCAACCGCGCCCGCGUCGAGUGCCAGAGCCACCGCCUCACCGUCGAGGACCCCGUCACCGUCGAGUACAUCACUCGCUACAUCGCCGGCCUGCAGCAGAAGUACACCCAGAGCGGUGGAGUCCGCCCCUUCGGCCUAUCCACCCUCAUCGUCGGCUUCGAUCCGUACACGGACAAGCCCGCCCUGUACCAGACCGACCCCUCCGGCACCUUCUCCGCCUGGAAGGCCAACGCCACGGGGAGGAACUCCAACUCCAUGCGGGAGUUCCUGGAGAAGAACUACAAGGACACCUCCGGCAAGGAGACCAUCAAGCUCACCAUCCGCGCUCUGCUAGAGGUUGUCGAGAGUGGUGGGAAGAACAUAGAGAUUGCAGUGAUGACAAAGAAGGAUGGCCUUCGGCAACUCGAGGAGACUGAAAUCGAUGAAUAUGUUGCCGAGAUCGAGGCAGAGAAGGCCGCGGCAGAGGCGGCAAAGAAGAGUGGCCCGAAGGAUACCUAAUUACUGGAUGUGCUAUAUCUUCAGUCUGUCAGCCGAAACCUUUUACGUUUGAACCUGCGCAAAAAAAUGUAUCCGUCAUCUGCUCCUCGCAUAUUCGCUGAUGGUUAACCUGGCGAACCAUAGUUUCUGAAGCUGUGGCGUGCUAUGCCAUAUGGGCUCAUAUAAAUCUCACUGGGUAGUGCUGGUGUGUUUGUUGCAAUGUGAAUUCACUUCCGGUCUUGAUGAUGUCACCUGAGAAUGCUGGUGCUUUCUUGGUAUUCUUGGUAUGCCACCUCACUUUGGUUCCUGAUAAUCUCAUCUGAUAAUCUAUGCUGUUGCUUUUGACCCCGCCAUGGUAUGCGAUUGCA
rnacentral:rRNA from 1 species